UGCAAUCUAUUUGUACUGAGUUAAUUAAGAGGACAAAAGGUGCCGCAGAGAGAGAUCAUCUAAUGCAGUGAAUGGCCCUCUACCGCACCCUGUCACGUACCCUCCUUCUGUCUCUUGCCACUUCUUUCUUUUCCUACUCUGAUGUCCUACCCCCAAUCAUCUCAGGUUCCCAGAUAAUGGCUUGCCUUUUUCUUCUUUUAUCUCUUUCUCUUUCUUAUUCCUUUUCCUUGCUCAGCAUCACCAGUAGGAACAUUACUUAGCCUAUUACUGGGUCGAUGUUUCCUUUUGCUGCUGAGAACCUUGGUGAGGUUUGGGAUUCUAGCAUCAUUUUGCAUCACAAUGCAAAUCACUUCCUGGAAGGCCAGGGAUGGUGUAUUCUAGUCACGCUCAGUUUCUAGAUAGCUUGCAUCUCACCCCCAGUAAAACCACUUAUUUAGAACAUAUCAGUGUAUUGACAAGGUCAGAGAGCAAGGCUGUCCUGAGUCCUCACUUAGACCGAAUAACCCGCAUAGAUCAAGAAGUGUUGUCUAAGUGCGAAGAGGACAUGAAGAUCCAGAAGAGGACUUUUGAGGAUAAAAUUAAGACUCUCAGCGAAGAAGAGGAAAUUCCAAGGGCAGCGAGCUUCUGAGGAUUGUCAUUCUUGGUCCUUCCUUUUCUGCUUUAUCCAACUUGCUGCCCGAGUGAGUGGGGGUAACACAGAAGAGCGAGUGCACAGAAGCCUCCAGUACUACUGCUCUGCAUCCUAACCAGCCCCGUGGCGGCAGUGUCAGUCAUGCUCCCGCCACCCCACCCGCUCUGAGCAAGCCUGGGGAUUAGUUCUUCUCUGGCUUUAGCUUCCUGAAUGAAACAAAAGAGAAGAAUAGCUUAAGCAGGGUAUAUUAGGGAAGGGGGAAAUUCUAGUUCGAACCCUCCUCCCCUCCCAACCCAGCAUCAUCCCAUCCCCAUCCUGCCUUUCUCUCCUCAAUCAGAGUUGUUUGCAGUGACCCAGACAGCUGACGACAAAGAUCAGUUUACAGAGUAAGGGCUGCUCUCCGCUUUCUCUUCUUUACAGACGCUCUACCCCUUGGAAGCUUCAGAUUAACGAAGAUUUCUGUCUCUUUUAGUUCCUUUCUAUUUUAAAUUAAUUUUUGCCUUUUCUGUCUUGAAAAUAAAAUACCUCAUUUGCUCCCGAACGCCUUCUUU
rnacentral:lncRNA from 1 species